ensembl:lncRNA
GUGAGUCAAACCUUUGUCGCUGUAUCGUAUCCUGUUUUAGAAUCUUUAAAUGGGAAUCAGGCCCUGCGGAAUUAUCUAUUUUACUCUAAAUUGGACUAUAAUUUACAAAAUGAACAUCAUGUUUGAUUCAGUAAGAUUUAAAACUAGUGACUGAGACCAUAAACUCACCAGGAAGGUGUUACUUAGCUCAGCGAUCAGGUCCACCAAGGAAGCAGAGGAGCCACCAAACAUGAUGGGCUGGAUCGUCAAUGGGAUUGGUCGCAUGUUGCCUCAGCCCGUGCAGAAGUCGGAUGCAGGAAAUGACGAGGUGCAGACCAGGGGGAAAGGCGGACAGAGCCCCUUAAAAUAAAAGGAGAAGGAAGAGCGGGACAGAGUCACUCACACUGACACUGACAGCAGCAGACACUUUAACUGACUGACGGACACUCAGAGCUGUUUGCGCACAGCUACGGCAAGAUUCAGUCCUGUAGUGCUCACAUAGCUGCACUGCUUUCAGGUUUUGCACAGCCAUCAUGCGUAACUUAAACUUAGAAAAGGGGCACAAUUGUAUGAUUUUAUUCAAGGGGACUCAUUCUGCUUCUGCUCCCUGUUUUAAUUGUUUGACUCUAACAGAGUAGCUUUGUAUGAUUCAAAGUCCAAAAUAAUUCUUUGUCUCACACCGGGUCGUUGUUCAUUCUUUGUCUAACAUAUUAUUUUAGCCCCUCCCCCUUUCUUAUGAUAAGCUGCCCUUUAUAAGGUGGGUGGGGUCUCCGUGUCUGAGAUGACCAUAUUAGGGUUAUUCUCACUCUAUGACAUCAUUCAGAUCAAAGAGUAGAAAAAACUGUGUGAAAUUGAGUGUUCACGGAUGCCUGAGCCUUUUUUUAUUAGAAACUUUGCCCAUGUUUAAAAUGAACCUUCACCAUCUGAACAUGAGAUAUUUGAAGGAAAAUAAACAAAAAGCAGAAUAUGUCCCCUUCAAUAAACACCAGUUAUGAUUAGGAAGUCUUUAUUGCUAUGCUCUGUUUAAAGUCCAAGCCAUUGGUGCUCCUUCAUACUGGGAACUCUGGAUUGCUGGUAGUCCACGUCGACUGCUUACUUGGUAAAGGGGACCAGUUGUUCUCAUUUCCAGCUCUUUAUUUUAAUCCUGGAACUUAACCAAAGUAACUUGGCAAGAUUCUCAGUUGAAAAUAAUUCUUCUUUAUCGUAUAUUGUCCCUUUAUGUAGUUUCCUGUGUGAAACAAGCUGCUUUAGCUCCCGUCUCUUCAAGGCACCCAUUUCUAAAAGCCCACUGGCUUCUGAUUGCCUGACUUAUGGAAGCCUACCGAGGGGCAGCACCUUGUGUUUUUGAGCUGUACUGUCUUAAGUCAUCAGCGUGCUGUUCCUGUAGCCAGUGACUUCAGCUUAGUCUUUGAAAUUUUGAAUACAAAUAAACAUAAAUAUGUUUAUUUGUAUUAAAAUGAUACCAGCCAG